rnacentral:rRNA from 1 species
UACGAAGGGGGCUAGCGUUGCUCGGAAUCACUGGGCGUAAAGGGUGCGUAGGCGGGUUUUUAAGUCAGGGGUGAAAUCCUGGAGCUCAACUCCAGAACUGCCUUUGAUACUGGCGAUCUUGAGAUCGGAAGAGGUGAGUGGAAUUCCCAGUGUAGAGGUGAAAUUCGUAGAUAUUGGGAAGAACACCAGUGGCGAAGGCGGCUCACUGGUCCGAUACUGACGCUGAGGUGCGAAAGCGUGGGGAGCAAACAGG